rnacentral:rRNA from 1 species
UACGGAGGGUGCGAGCGUUGUCCGGAAUCACUGGGCGUAAAGGGCGCGUAGGUGGCGGAGCAAGUCAACGGUGAAAGCUCGACGCUCAACGUCGAGUCGGCCGUCGAGACUGCUUUGCUCGAGCACUGUAGAGGCAGAUGGAAAUUUCCGGGUGUAGCGGUGGAAUGCGUAGAGAUCCGGAAAGAACACCGGUGGCGAGGCGGUCUGCUGGGCA